ensembl:lncRNA
AAACGUUCCCUUUAGGGAAGUAAAAGCAGAGCAGCGGCUCUUUGGUGGUUGUUUACGAAGCACAAACUAAAAACCGUAAACUCAAAAGCCCCAGAGGCCCAGAGAUCACGACGAGGGGGUCGGAGUUCAUCUUCUUCAUUCGUCCAAACCUCCUUCAUGUCCACUUGUGUUGGUUAAGGAGGAACCGGACAGCACGCUGCUCUCCUUCAAGCGACGCACGCGUACAUGCACCGAAAGGCGGAGAAGCUUCCAUGUGCUUAACGAGUGAUGAUGACGACUGUGCUCUGUGAUGCGAUGCCAGCUGGCCGAAACCUUCCUCUUCCUGGGCACAGGAGUCCAACGACGGAUUUCACAUAAAAGGAAUUUCCUGAUUUUGACUGUAAAGAAAGCCAAAUAAGAUGCUUUUGUUUUUUCUAAUGCCAGUUAUUAUUAAAUUCAGUUAUUUUGGAACGGGCCACGUUGUCUCUGCACCUCAUUUGUCUUUCUUCUAAAAAAAAAAAUCUUACAGAUUCUACACCAAGUAGCUUUCCGUUCUCACAAAGCCCUUAUACAGUUUACAGGAAACAUUUGGGUAUUCUUCUUAGUAUUUUUUUAAACAGUACGUUUUACUGUUUUCAAAAGCAAACUGUUUCAUUGCCGGUGUUAUUAUUCUUAUUCCACCAGAGCCACAGUGCAACUAAAUGGCA